AUGAAUAAAACUAUGUUUCUUUGGUGAUAAAAAUAAAAAUAAAAUAAAAUACAAUACAACAGAAUAUUUUUACUUUGGAAAUUAGAUUUCUUAACAUCGUUGUCUAUGAUCACCACGGUCCACCAGAUUAUGUCACCAGAGUGAUGGAGUUGCCGCCUGUACAAGUGAAAGAGGACGGUGUGUGCGUGAAAAUGCUCUCUGCUCCUCUCAAUCCCGCCGAUAGCAACACAUUGAAGGAUGGCUUGUCGCUGGAUUGGGCAGGACCUUGUAAAUUCAAUAAUCUUUGAGAAAAUGCCGGAUACAAUGGAAAGGUUGAAUAGGUCGCUGAUGGCUUGCCAAUACAAGUUUGAGGCAGCUAAGCUCCAAAAGAAACUCAGUGGCCUGCAUGAAUUGGAGUCCUGUGUUGAUCAGUCAACCAAAGACAACAUCAAGAUGCUGCCGCAUAUUGCUGGAAAGUUGAAGGCCACCUUUUCGUCAGUGAUUAGGGAAAACAGCCACCUUAUUUUUUAAUCAUGUAUAAACCAUCAAUGACCUCUGAAGAUUGUUGGGAGGACUUUGAACUCUUUUUUAUGCAACCAACCUAAAGAUCAGUAAGUAAUUUAAGUUGAUUAUAGUUCUAUAUCAA